UACGGAGGGUGCAAGCGUUAUCCGGAUUCACUGGGUUUAAAGGGUGCGUAGGAGGGCAGGUAAGUCAGUGGUGAAAUCCCCGAGCUUAACUUGGGAACUGCCGUUGAUACUAUCUGUCUUGAAUACCGUGGAGGUGAGCGGAAUAUGUCAUGUAGCGGUGAAAUGCUUAGAUAUGACAUAGAACACCAAUUGCGAAGGCAGCUCGCUAAGCGAAUAUUGGCGCUGAGGCACGAAAGCGUGGGGAUCAAACAGG
rnacentral:rRNA from 1 species